rnacentral:rRNA from 1 species
UCGAACGCGUGUAGCAAUACACGAGUGGCGAAAGGGCGAGGAAUAGAUUCCUACGUACCCCGGAGUCAGGGAUAACCAUCGGAAACGGUGGCUAACACCUGAUGAUCUCGAAAGAGCAAAGUUUACGCUCUGGGAGCGGGGAAUCUCCUAUCAGCUAGUUGGUGAGGUAACGGCUCACCAAGGCUAAGACGGGUAGCGGGUGUGAGAGCACGGCCCGCCGCAUCGGGACUGAGACACUGCCCGGACUCCUACGGGAGGCUGCAGUAACGAGUCUUCCGCAAUGCGCGAAAGCGUGACGGGGCAAUGCCGCGUGUGGGAUGAAGCCCCUCGGGGUGUAAACCACUGUCAGGGUCUAGGAACACAAUGACCAUACCCAAAGGAAGCACCGGCUAACUCUGUGCCAGCAGCCGCGGUAAUACAGAGGGUGCGAGCGUUAAUCGGAAUCACUGGGCUUAAAGGGUCCGUAGGCGGGACUGCAGGCGUCGAGUGAAAUACCACGGCUCAACCGUGGAACUGCUCGGCGAACCGCAGUUCUUGAGGCGAGUGGAGGCGAUCAGAACGAUAGGUGGAGCGGUGAAAUGCGUAGAUAUCUAUCGGAAUGCCAAAGGUGAAGACAGGUCGCUGGGCUCGUCCUGACGCUGAGGGACGAAAGCGUGGGGAGCAAACGGGAUUAGAUACCCCGGUAGUCCACGCCGUAAACAAUGCGCACUGGGUCGGGGGGGUUUGACGCCCUCCUGGCCGAAGCAAAAGUGUUAAGUGCGCCGCCUGGGGAGUACGGUCGCAAGGCUAAAACUCAAAGGAAUUGACGG